GAAACUUCGAAGGUCAGGAAAACCAUAUAUAAGGUAUGAAUCGCCAUGCAGAAAUGGGAUUUAGAAGUUUCAUGUGGAUUGAGACUUCAAACCAGGCAACUGGUUUAUGCCGAUAAAACAUCCUUCGGGUACCACUCUCUUCUGAGAGGAAGGUUUGUUUUGUGUCCAGAAGAUUUGUCGUGUUCGUGCAACAGAACAGAUGUGUUCCAGAAUAUUUCAGACCAAUAGACUAUUAUCAAAAAGAUUUGUAUCAAAAGAUUCAUAUCAAAAGAUUCAAAUCAUAAGACUGUGUUAAAAUAACUAUUCAUUUCGUUAAUAAUGAGAUUUAUGUCAAAGGAUUCAUAUCAAUAGAAGCAAAACCAAAAGAUUAAUAUCAAUAGAAGCAAAACCAAAAGACUGUGUUCGAAUGACAAUACAUUUUUUGUUCAAUGACGUUAAUAAUGAUAUUCAUGUACAUAAUUCAGGAUGUGUUUACUUUCAAUGAGGAUAUUUCAAUUAUUGUAGAAUAAUUUGCUUUAAUGAAAUAAUGUUAAUUUAAAUAAUGUGUGUUACCAUGUAGUAUAUAUAUUAUGCACAUG
rnacentral:lncRNA from 1 species